CAAGUGAGGAAUGGGGAAGGAGGGUGGAGGAAGGAGCUUGUAAAUGAGCAGCUGGUUUGCAGCAAAACCGCACCUCACUCUGCACCUUUGGAUCCCUCUCAGCCUGAGGUUAGCACAGCCAAUGUCCUCACCAGCGUCUGCCAAAGCCCAUGGAGAAGGCCAGCAGGAGCAUAUCACUGUGACUUACAACCCUUCUCUAGUCUGCUACAAUGGAAUCUUAAACAAGAAAAUUUUAUAUUUUGACUUGCAUCAUUGAGAAAAACACUGCCAACCUGAUCGUGGUUCCUUUGAAGAAUCACUGCAGCAGGUGCGAGAGAGGACUCAUGGAGCUUGCAGAUGAGCUAGCCCAGACCCUGAACUUGAUGGGUCAGCUGCCACCACGCAGAUGGAUAAAGUGGCUUAUCUGGUACUGUGGCCCCCACUCAGGAACUGACUCAGCGCAAAGAAGACAGCUUCAACUCCCUAUGAUUUCAUCUCCAAUGGGACCAAUCAUCACUCCCCAGUCCCUGGCCUCCUAUGCACCAAAUUAUCCUUAAAAAACCCCAGUCUCUUAAUUGUCAGUCUCUCCAAUCUCUGAAUUUCCAGAAAGAGUUUAAUUCAUGCAGAGGCAGCUGAACUGAUUUGAGUAUGAAUUAAACUCUUUCUCUAUUGCAAUUCCUCUGUCUUGAUGAAUCGGCUUUAUCUGGGCAGUGGGCACAAUGAAUCCUUGGGCGGUUACAAUAAAACUGAAAAUAGAUAAAAACUGUGUGUGGCAAGAUUUAGAUCUAUAAAUUUUGACCUUGGAAAAUAGAACUCCAUAAAAAUAAUGCCCCCAAAAUAAAACUCACAGUAGUAGAAGCUGUUAUAGUAAAAUUUGAAUUGAACAAAAGACUGUUAAAACAGGACUGUGUUGAUAAGUUACACAUAAAUGAAUUCAUCCGGAUCAAAAUAAUUUUAGUAUUUUUACUCAUGACAUUGUAUUCAUGUUUAUUUAUGACAACAUAAAUAGUAAUUUUAUUCACAUGACAAAAUUGGAAAUACUUUAAGUGUGCUAUGUAGAAAACUAAUCAAGGAAUUAAUUUGGGUUAAUGAAAUUAAUUGUUAAAAGUAAUUUCUUGUCAACAACUUUUGUUGCUGGUAUAAUUGUUACAUGCCAGGUUCUGGUCUGUUCUACCUUCAAGCAGUAAAUCAAUCACUAUGAUUCAGGUUUUGCAAAAGAGAAAAGAUUUAUUCGAAAGGACACCCAGCGAGGAGGCGGUGGGAGAACAGCUCUCAAAUCUGCCUCCCCAAAGAUAAAGCUUAAGGGUAUUUAUGGGUUAGGGAAGUGAGGUGGUCUAAGGUGUGGGGAAAGGUGGUUGCUAGUGGGGAAAAAUGAAGUAACAGGUUCAUUCUGCAACAGCCUAGCUGGAGUUUGUGGCAUUCCACAGCACAUAUGUACAGAAAAUGGCAGCAUUAGCAUGGACUGAGGAUGGAGUCUUUGGCCCUCCAACAUAAAAAGGCCGCCUCUCCAGCACUUGAGCAGACCCAGUUAAAAG
rnacentral:lncRNA from 1 species